CAGAAACAACUUGUCCUGCGCUGACUGGAGUCGCGCAGGUACGGCGGUGUGUUCACGGGUCUGCGACUCGCACAGUCACGACACAUUCACACGGGGAAUAACUACUAAACAUUUUACGGUCACACGGGGUACUGGAGCCUAUCCUAGCCAUCUAUGGGCAAGAGGUGGGGUACACCCUGGACAGGUCACCAGCCAGUCCCUCGCAGGGCAACACAUACAGACAGACAAACAUUCACACACGCUCAAUUUUAUGAUGAAUGAACCUAAUGCAUGUUUUUGGACCACGGGAGGAACCCGGAGAGAACCCGGGGAGAACCUGGGGAGAACAUGCAAAUGCCACACUGAAAAGCACCCCUCUCCCCAAACACUUCCUCCACAUCUUUUAGCAGGACCCCAAGGCGUUCCCAGGCCAGCCGAAAGGACAUUCAAGGUCAACAGCCAUCGCCUCAACUGAAAAGUGUUGGUGCGGAACUGCAUCCCCUUCCUGAGGUGUCAAACAGUUUGCCAGAAUCUCUUUGAGGCCAAAUGACAGUCCUCCUCCUCCCAUGCCCAAGGUUUUGCCUCCACAACAGCACAGCUGCAGCACACUUGGCCUGUCAGUACACAUUAGCUGUCUCAGGAGUCCCACAAGUCAUCCAGGCCUGAUAGGAAUCCUUCUUCAACUUCAAUGGGUGGGGGUUUACCUCCACGCUAGGCACUAGAGACCUUGUGGUCCAGCACGAACGGCCACAUUGUCAAUAGAGGUGGAGAACAUGGUCCACUCUGACUCAAUGUCUCCACCCUCCCUCAAUAUCUGGUUGAGACUCUCCUGGAGGUGAGUUGAAGAUCCCUGUGAACAUAACAGCACUUGGGUUCAGAUCCAGGAGGCCAUUCCGCCCAAUCACACCUCUCCAGGUGUCACCUUCAUUGCCCACGUAGGUGUUGAAAUCCUCAAGAAAAAUGAUGAAGUCCCCAGAGCACCUGACCAUUUUUAGCUGGUAGCGCUCAACCUCCUGCACAAGCUCAGGCUCCUUCUCCCCAUGACGUGGGCCUGGCUCCAGGGUAGGGCCACACCUGCGCCAUACUGGGCUACGUCUCAGUUCUUGUCAUUACAUUGUCCGUAAGGGUUUUGUGAACCUCUCUUUGUCUGGCCUAUCACCUAGUUUACCUGUUUGCCUCGGGAGACCCUACCAGAGGCAUUGAGCCCCUGACCACAUAGCUGGACAAAACUUAAUGCAUUAUGCACAAACAUGAUUCAAACCACUCCAUAAAAUAUAGUAGUAUUGUAUGUGUAGCAGGUAACACACAAACAUACAAAAUACCCAUCAUCAGGAUACACAGUGUUUAUUUAAUAGAAUGUUGACAAUAGGAAGAACAAAAUCAGACACAUCCUUGGUGGUUUAAUUUACCAAAGCAAAUUCCAGACAAAUAAAAUGUAUAAUUGCCUUUUAUUAUUAACCAUUCCCAACAAAGAAAAAACAAAGUUUAAUUUUCUGAUCACAUUAUAUUGAAAUCACAUCUGUUACAUAAUAACCAAAAAACAGAUCAUAUCUACAGGCAGAACG